UAAGCGGAGGAAAAGAAACUAACAAGGAUUCCCCCUAGUAACGGCGAGCGAAGCGGGAAGAGCUCAAAUUUGAAAGCUGGCGUCUUCGGCGUCCGCGUUGUAAUCUCGAGACGUGUUUUCCGUGCGGCUCUAUGGACAAGUCCCUUGGAACAGGGCAUCGUAGAGGGUGAAAAUCCCGUACUUGCCAUGGAAGUACCGUGCUUUGUGAUACACGCUCCAAGAGUCGAGUAGUUUGGGAUUGCUGCUCAAAGUGGGUGGUAGACUCCAUCUAAAGCUAAAUAUCGGGGAGAGACCGAUAGCGAACAAGUACCGUGAGGGAAAGAUGAAAAGCACUUUGGAAAGAGAGUUAAAAGUACGUGAAAUUGUCGAAAGGGAAGCACUUGAAGUCAGCCAUGCUGCUUGAGACUCAGCCUGGCUUUUGCUUGGUGUAUUUCUCGGUAGCAAGCCAGCAUUGGUUUGUGUCGUCGGAGAAGCGUAUGGGGAAUGUGGCAUCCUCGGAUGUGUUAUAGCCCUGUGCAGGAUACGACGACGUAGACCAAGGAACGCAGUGUGCCCUCUGGGCGGGUCUUCGGACACCUUCACACUUAGGAUGCUGGCGUAAUGGCUUUAAGUGGCCCGUCUUGA
rnacentral:rRNA from 1 species